AGGAAAAGAAACCAACAGGGAUUGCCCUAGUAACGGCGAGUGAAGCGGCAACAGCUCAAAUUUGAAAUCUGGCGCAAGCCCGAGUUGUAAUUUGUAGAGGAUGCUUCUAGGUAGCGACCGGUCUAAGUUCCUUGGAACAGGACGUCAUAGAGGGUGAGAAUCCCGUAUGUGACUGGCCCGCACCUUCUACGUAGCUCCUUCGACGAGUCGAGUUGUUUGGGAAUGCAGCUCUAAAUGGGAGGUAAAUUUCUUCUAAAGCUAAAUACCGGCCAGAGACCGAUAGCGCACAAGUAGAGUGAUCGAAAGAUGAAAAGCACUUUGGAAAGAGAGUUAAAAAGCACGUGAAAUUGUUGAAAGGGAAGCGCUCACAACCAGACUUCUAGGCAGUGUUCCGCCGGUCUUUUGACCGGUCUACUCUCUGUCUCGAGGCCAACAUCAUCUGGGACCGCUGGAUAAGACCUUAGGAAUGUAGCUCCCCUCGGGGAGUGUUAUAGCCUCUGGUGAUGCAGCGAGUCUCGGGUGAGGUCCGCGCUUCGGCAAGGAUGUUGGCGUAAUGGUUGUCAGCGGCCCGUCUUGAAACACGGACCAAGGAGUCUAACAUCUAUGCGAGUGUUCGGGUGUCAAACCCCUACGCGUAAUGAAAGUGAACGGAGGUGGGAAGCGUAAGCUGCACCAUCGACCGAUCCUGAUGUCCUCGGAUGGAUUUGAGUAAGAGCAUAGCUGUUGGGACCCGAAAGAUGGUGAACUAUGCCUGAAUAGGGUGAAGCCAGAGGAAACUCUGGUGGAGGCUCGCAGCGGUUCUGACGUGCAAAUCGAUCGUCAAAUUUGGGUAUAGGGGCGAAAGACUA
rnacentral:rRNA from 1 species